AGCGGCGAGCGAACGGGGAGGAGCCCAGAGCCUGAAUCAGCAUGUGUGUUAGUGGAAGCGUCUGGAAAGGCGCGCGAUACAGGGUGACAGCCCCGUACACAAAAGCGCAUAUGCUGUGAGCUCGAUGAGUAGGGCGGGACACGUGGUAUCCUGUCUGAAUAUGGGGGGACCAUCCUCCAAGGCUAAAUACUCCUGACUGACCGAUAGUGAACCAGUACCGUGAGGGAAAGGCGAAAAGAACCCCGGCGAGGGGAGUGAAAAAGAACCUGAAACCGUGUACGUACAAGCAGUGGGAGCACCCUUUUGGGUGUGACUGCGUACCUUUUGUAUAAUGGGUCAGCGACUUAUAUUCUGUAGCAAGGUUAACCGAAUAGGGGAGCCGGAGGGAAACCGAGUCUUAAUUGGGCGUUAAGUUGCAGGGUAUAGACCCGAAACCCGGUGAUCUAGCCAUGGGCAGGUUGAAGGUUGGGUAACACUAACUGGAGGACCGAACCGACUAAUGUUGAAAAAUUAGCGGAUGACCUGUGGCUGGGGGUGAAAGGCCAAUCAAACCGGGAGAUAGCUGGUUCUCCCCGAAAGCUAUUUAGGUAGCGCCUCGUGAAUUCAUCUCCGGGGGUAGAGCACUGUUUCGGCUAGGGGGCCAUCCCGGCUUACCAACCCGAUGCAAACUGCGAAUACCGGAGAAUGUUAUCACGGGAGACACACGGCGGGUGCUAACGUCCGUCGUGAAGAGGGAAACAACCCAGACCGCCAGCUAAGGUCCCAAAGUCAUGGUUAAGUGGGAAACGAUGUGGGAAGGCACAGACAGCCAGGAUGUUGGCUUAGAAGCAGCCAUCAUUUAAAGAAAGCGUAAUAGCUCACUGGUCGAGUCGGCCUGCGCGGAAGAUGUAACGGGGCUAAACCAUGCACCGAAGCUGCGGCAGCGACGUUUAUGCGUUGUUGGGUAGGGGAGCGUUCUGUAAGCCUGCGAAGGUGGCCUGUGAGGGUUGCUGGAGGUAUCAGAAGUGCGAAUGCUGACAUAAGUAACGAUAAAGCGGGUGAAAAGCCCGCUCGCCGGAAGACCAAGGGUUCCUGUCCAACGUUAAUCGGGGCAGGGUGAGUCGACCCCUAAGGCGAGGCCGAAAGGCGUAGUCGAUGGGAAACGGGUUAAUAUUCCCGUACUUGGUGUUACUGCGAAGGGGGGACGGAGAAGGCUAUGUUGGCCGGG
rnacentral:rRNA from 1 species